UGGGGAAUAUUGCACAAUGGGGGAAACCCUGAUGCAGCGACGCCGCGUGAGCGAAGAAGGCUUUCGAGUCGUAAAGCUCUGUCCUAUGAGAAGAUAAUGACGGUAUCAUAGGAGGAAGCCCUGGCUAAAUACGUGCCAGCAGCCGCGGUAAUACGUAUGGGGCGAGCGUUGUCCGGAAUUAUUGGGCGUAAAGGGUACGUAGGUGGUUUUUUAAGUCAGGUGUCAAAGCGUGGAGCUUAACUCCAUUAAGCACUUGAAACUGAAAGACUUGAGUGAAGGAGAGGAAAGUGGAAUUCCUAGUGUAGCGGUGAAAUGCGUAGAUAUUAGGAGGAAUACCGGUGGCGAAGGCGACUUUCUGGACUUUUACUGACGCUGAGGUACGAAAGCGUGGGGAGCAAACAGG
rnacentral:rRNA from 1 species